GGUGCGGAAUAGCCCAGGGAAACUUGGAGUAAUACCGUAUACGCCCGAAAGGGGAAAGAAUUUCGCUAUAGGAUGGGCCCGCGUAGGAUUAGCUAGUUGGUGAGGUAAUGGCUCACCAAGGCGACGAUCCUUAGCUGGUUUGAGAGAACGACCAGCCACACUGGGACUGAGACACGGCCCAGACUCCUACGGGAGGCAGCAGUGGGGAAUAUUGGACAAUGGGCGCAAGCCUGAUCCAGCCAUGCCGCGUGAGUGAUGAAGGCCUUAGGGUUGUAAAGCUCUUUUGCCGGGGACGAUAAUGACGGUACCCGGAGAAUAAGUCCCGGCUAACUUCGUGCCAGCAGCCGCGGUAAUACGAAGGGGACUAGCGUUGUUCGGAAUCACUGGGCGUAAAGCGCACGUAGGCGGAUUCGUAAGUCAGGGGUGAAAUCCCGGGGCUCAACCUCGGAACUGCCUUUG
rnacentral:rRNA from 1 species